AGGAUUAACGCUGGCGGCGUGCAUGAAACAUGCAAGUCGAGCGCGGUGUGAUGCGGGGUAACCCAAUUCACAUCUAGCGGCGAACGGGUGAGUAACACGUGAGCAACCUACCUUUGAGUUGGGGAUAGCCCUGGGAAACCAGGAUUAAUACCCGAUGUGGUCACAACAGGACAUCCUGAUGUGAGUAAAGGCGUAAGCCGCUCAAUGACGGGCUCGCGGCCUAUUAGCUUGUUGGUGGGGUAACGGCCUACCAAGGCGAUGAUGGGUAGCUGGUCUGAGAGGACGAUCAGCCACACUGGGACUGAGACACGGCCCAGACUCCUACGGGAGGCAGCAGUUAGGAAUUUUCCGCAAUGGGCGAAAGCCUGACGGAGCAACGCCGCGUGAGUGACGAAGGCUUUCUGAGUUGUAAACCUCUUUCAGCAGGGACGAUUGUGACGGUACCUGCAGAACGAAGCCCCGGCCAACUACGCGCCAGCAGCCG
rnacentral:rRNA from 1 species